rnacentral:rRNA from 1 species
CUUAGAGUUUGAUCCUGGCUCAGGAUGAACGCUGGCGGUAUGCUUAACACAUGCAAGUCGAACGGUGUCUUCGGACAUAGUGGCGGACGGGUGAGUAACGCGUGAGAAUCUAGCUUCAGGUCUGGGACAACCACUGGAAACGGUGGCUAAUACCGGAUGUGCCGGAAGGUGAAAGGCUUGCUGCCUGAAGAUGAGCUCGCGUCCGAUUAGCUAGUAGGUGGGGUAAGAGCCUACCUAGGCGACGAUCGGUAGCUGGUCUGAGAGGAUGACCAGCCACACUGGGACUGAGACACGGCCCAGACUCCUACGGGAGGCAGCAGUGGGGAAUUUUCCGCAAUGGGCGAAAGCCUGACGGAGCAAUACCGCGUGAGGGAGGAAGGCUCUUGGGUUGUAAACCUCUUUUCUCAGGGAAGAACACAAUGACGGUACCUGAGGAAUCAGCAUCGGCUAACUCCGUGCCAGCAGCCGCGGUAAUACGGAGGAUGCAAGCGUUAUCCGGAAUGAUUGGGCGUAAAGCGUCCGCAGGUGGCUGUGUAAGUCUGCUGUCAAAGAGCAAAGCUCAACUUUGUAAAGGCAGUGGAAACUACACGGCUAGAGUGCGUUCGGGGCAGAGGGAAUUCCUGGUGUAGCGGUGAAAUGCGUAGAGAUCAGGAAGAACACCGGUGGCGAAGGCGCUCUGCUAGGCCGCAACUGACACUGAGGGACGAAAGCUAGGGGAGCGAAUGGGAUUAGAUACCCCAGUAGUCCUAGCUGUAAACGAUGGA